rnacentral:lncRNA from 1 species
AGAAUAUCCAAUUCCUGCCAAGGAUAUUUUUCGGUGCUGGAGACAGGUCUUUAAGGAAAAUUUGCGACGGGGGCGAAGCUGUAAAACGGUGCCCCAAGCACCAUUUAUAAUAAAGCCAGAUGCGCAAAACUUUCUUGCGGCAGAAUCAGGAAUAAUAUUUUCAUAGAAACGAUACGAAAUCAACCCUGUUUUUUGUGCGACAGAAAAUUUGGACACCAUAAUUUUGCAUUUGAGUAGUCAGAUCAGCAGAAAAAAUACCAAAAGACCAGCCGAUUAAAUACCGCAGCGAAAGAUACAGUUAAGCCACUAACCAAAUGUAUAGUAGAUUGUCAAUUCAAAGGAAGCGAAACGUCACCGCAGAAUGUGCGUCGGGAAGUCCCAGGCCUCUGCCAACGUCACGGCUACAAGUAUUAGUGCGUGUAGAACACGCAGCUAGAAGUCCCAGCUACAUUUGUAUCAGUGCGUGUAGAGCACGCAGCCAGAAGUCCCAGCUACAUCUGUGUAAGUGCGUGUAGCCAAUGAUUUUUUAGCGCUCCAAACCGGUUCUGGCUUGAUUCACUCGGACACUGCAAGUAUCGUAUGUGUUGGUGCGCUGACUUUCUGAAGUGAGAUGGAACGAAAAUUCGUUUUGAUGAUUUGAUUUUGUUUUCGGGGCUUGGCGUAUGAAACUGACCUACCGCAACAUAUGCAGAAUGAGGGGUGGGGAUUGGUGGCCGGACCUUUGGGGGUUGCAAAAAAUAAAUAUACCAAUAAAAGUUGUUAUUGUAUUUGAAUGCUGUAAUUGUUUUAAAUGCAGAUUUUAUACUGCUUUAUUCAAAAUUGUAUGCAUAUUAUGGAAACGCC